rnacentral:rRNA from 1 species
GUGAAAGUUUCCAAGGGCGCAUGGUGGAUGCCUUGGCAACAGGAGCCGAAGAAGGACGUGGGAAUCUGCGAUAAGCCUGGUGGAGUCGAUAACCGGACGUUGAGACCAGGAUUUCCGAAUGGGGAAACCCCGCACGACGUGUCGUGUGACCCCCGGUUGAACACAUAGACCGGGUGGAGGGAACGUGGGGAAGUGAAACAUCUCAGUACCCACAGGAAGAGAAAACAAAAGUGAUUCCGUUAGUAGUGGCGAGCGAACGCGGAUGGGGCUAAACCGUAUGUGUGUGAUACCCGGCAGGGGUUGCAUGUGCGGUGUUGUGGGCCCCUCCUUGUCAUGUCUGCCGGCAUGGCGCAGUGAGGUGCGGGCAUAUAGACGAACCAGUGUGGAUGCUGGACCGUAGAGGGUGAGAGUCCCGUAGUCGAAAUGUGUUCCGCCGCUGUUGGAGGGUUGCCCGAGUAGCACGGGGCCCGAGGAAUCCCGUGUGAAUCUGCCAGGACCACCUGGUAAGCCUGAAUACUACCUGUUGACCGAUAGCGGAUCAGUACCGUGAGGGAAUGGUGAAAAGUACCCCGGGAGGGGAGUGAAAUAGUACCUGAAACCAUGUGCCUACAAACCGUUGGAGCCUCCUUGUGGGGUGACAGCGUGCCUUUUGAAGAAUGAGCCUGCGAGUUAGUGAUACGUGGCGAGGUUAACCCGUGUGGGGAAGCCGUAGCGAAAGCGAGUCUGAAUAGGGCGAUUGAGUCGCGUGUCCUAGACCCGAAGCGGAGUGAUCUACCCAUGGCCAGGUUGAAGCGCGUGUAAGAGCGCGUGGAGGACCGAACCCACUUCAGUUGAAAAUGGAGGGGAUGAGCUGUGGGUAGGGGUGAAAGGCCAAUCAAACUCCGUGAUAGCUGGUUCUCCCCGAAAUGCAUUUAGGUGCAGCGUCACGUGUUUCUUCCCGGAGGUAGAGCUACUGGAUGGACGAUGGGCCCUACAAGGUUACUGACUUCAGCCAAACUCCGAAUGCCGGGAAGUGAGAGCGUGGCAGUGAGACUGUGGGGGAUAAGCUUCAUAGUCGAGAGGGAAACAGCCCAGACCACCGGUUAAGGCCCCUAAGCGUGUGCUAAGUGGGAAAGGAUGUGGAGUUGCUGAGACAACCAGGAGGUUGGCUUAGAAGCAGCCACCCUUGAAAGAGU